rnacentral:tRNA from 1 species
CGGAGCGUAGCUCAACUUGGCAGUCUGUUGUACUAUCUGUCCGACAGGUCAUGAGCUAUGGACUGUAGAGAGCGGCUGUUGUGAUGGCUGGUCACAGUUAUCCAUCGGUUGCCGGUUCAAAUCCGGCCGCUCCGACCA